rnacentral:tRNA from 4 species
GGGCCGGUAGCUCAGUUGGUAGAGUACCUGAAUGGCAUUCAGGGGGUCAUGGGUUCGAAUCCCUUCCGGUCCACCA